rnacentral:siRNA from 1 species
ACGGGUGGGUCUAUUGGGGAACCU